UAAGAACUGUCUGUGAUAUUUGACCAGAGGUGCAGCCUAGCUGCCAUUCUUCCUCACCCUGUGGAAGACAUUAAAGGGAGAAUGAAAGUAGCUGUAGAAUUACCUUUGGGGGAAGAAGCCAUUUGGUGAACUUGGCAAACACCCGUGUUUGAGGGGUCACCCAGGGUGUCAUGAGCCGGGCUGAAGGGGAUGGAUUAAUUACUUGUCUUGUUUGCUUGUUUCUGUUGUAAGUCAGGGCCCCUCAGCAGAAGGCAGAACAGAACCGAGUUCCUUUAGAAUGCUGGUUUUUGUGUGGAGUGAGGAAGGACCGUGAGUGUGGUCAGUUUCCAACCUGACAGGUCCUGCUACCGUUGGCCAGGACUGCAGCUUGUUACUUUGACCCUGGGAAGAAGGUAAGUGUUCCCAAGAAAAGGGACGUCCCAAAGCGGCGCCAUCCCGAUGGCACGUGUGCUGCUCGACUCCCUGCCGGGUAGGUCCAUCCCGACGGCGCAUGUGCCCCUCAGCUCCCCCCACCGGGUAGGUCCAUCCCAACAGCACCUGUGCUGCUCAACUCCCUGCCGGGUAGGUCCAUCCCGACGGUGCAUGUGCCCCUCAGCUCCCCGCCGGGUAGGCCCAUCCCGACAGCACCUGUGCCCCUCAGCUCCCCACCGGGUAGGUCCAUCCCGACAGCACCUGUGCCCCUCACCUCCCUGCCGGGUAGGUCCAUCCCGACAGCACCUGUGCCCCUCACCUCCCCGCCG
rnacentral:lncRNA from 1 species